UACGGGGGGGGCAAGCGUUGUUCGGAAUUACUGGGCGUAAAGGGCUCGUAGGCGGCCAACUAAGUCAGACGUGAAAUCCCCAGGCUCAACCUGGGAACUGCGUCUGAUACUGGAUGGCUUGAAUCCGGGAGAGGGAUGCAGAAUUCCAGGUGUAGCGGUGAAAUGCGUAGAUAUCGUUUGGAACGCCAAUGGUGAAAACAGGUUGCUGGGAGUGUGCUGACGCUGAGACACGAAAGCCAGGGGAGCGAACGGG
rnacentral:rRNA from 1 species